CCGGUCCUAAACGGAAGCGGUAAUGCGCUCAAUGUAACGUGUGGCUAUUAAUUGUAGUUUUAGUGAAAGGUUUGACGAAUUUUUAACUGUGUCUAGUUUAUUAGUAUUAAAUUGAACUGCGGGUGAAAAUGCUCGUAUUUAGUAGAGGGACGAGAAGACCCUGUGAAGUUUGAGUUUUGACUGGGGCAGUAGAAAGGCAAGAGUAGACCAGGUGUGUUUUGACGUGAUUAACAGAAGGAGUUACUCCAGGGAUAACAGCGUAAGCCUAGAUAGGUCUUAUAGACAGGCAGGUUUGCGACCUCGAUGUUGGCUCCGGGUAUCCAUGACUUGUAGCAUGGUUAAAUGGUUGGUUUG
rnacentral:rRNA from 1 species